CUUUAUCUCUACAGAUUCUGGAAGUAACAUCCUGAAUGGUGGCCUCUGUGACAACUGAUUGAAGUGCUUUUGUGCAUGGACUCAAGAUCAGAGUAGAAUUAUCAAAGUUCUGAAGAAAGACUGCUCUCCUGGAAUUUCUGGCGUGACAGAAAGCAGGAAGCUUCAGAAAACAUUUUAAGACAACUUGUUACUGCAAAGUUUCCACUCCAGCUUGGCAGACCUCAGAAUAUUCAGAUAAACAUCCCAGUUGGACCUCUGACCCUUUUAAGAUCACCUUUCAUCUGAGAAUCUAAAAGUACUUUGGAAAUAUUCAUUAAGCCUUAAAUAUUGACUGCAAGGUAGGUAAAGUAAACCUCAUCAAAUGCCUCUAAGGCAUCAUUUUGCAUAUGGGCAAACUGAGCUACAGAAAGGUUAUUAGAUGCCUAAUGUCAC